ensembl:lncRNA
UUUUAUUCAUUUAAUUUAUUUUUAUUUCAUUUUUAUUUAUGUAUUUGUUUUAUAUUUUAUUUAAAAUAAUUUCAUGCAAUUUUUAUCAUAUUUUAUGCAACUCUGUCAUCUAAAUUGUAUUUUUAUUUUUAAUAAUAAUUAUUAUUCAUUUACUUUUAUUCAUUUUGUUGAUUAUUUUUUAUUUAUUUGGGUUUAUUUUAUAUUUUUUAUUUAUGUUAUCUAUUUUAUUUGUGUGUUUUGAUCAUGGACAGCAUGUCCCAGAGGCACCUGAGAACACAGCGCCACCUAGUGUUACAUCAUGAUCUAUAGAAUUCAUGCAGUUUAAUUGCUUUAAAUUCUUUAGUGAAUAUAAAUGAAGCCUGAACAUCUGAUUUCUUUGAGAGUGCAGCCUCUACAAAAAUGACAAAUUGAUAAAUGAAGGAUAAAAGUCAGCUGUAGGCAUGUGAAGUCCUCUGACGCUGUUAUUCUGGAGAGUGAUGAGAUGCUGAGACCAUUCAAUCUACCCAGUCGUGUGUGUGUGUGUGUGUGUGUGUGUGUGUGUGUGACAGGAAACGGCAGAGUUUUGUCUGGUGUGUGUUCAGGGUAAAGCUGACGAGGAUCUGGAGUGUGAUGAGAACAUCACGAGCCGUGACGUCCACCUGCGCCGACAGCCCAAAAGAAGAAAAAAGAAAUGUUGUUCUCUGUCCUGAUGGGCCGGAGGCUCAGGACGCCAGCUGCGCCGUCAUGUGAGUCUGGUCUCCACUUCAGACGCUCUUCUAACCGUUCGCUCGCUCUCGUCACAUCAGAUACAUGCUCAGAGCCCAAACUGGAUUUCUUUCUUUUUUUACAUGAAUUCUUUGCUGUUCUUUGUUCAAAUAAAGUUUAAAACUGUUAGGUUAUAAAUUAAAAUAAAUGCUUUUUGAAAAUCA